CGGGGGGCGGCCCCGGGCGGGAGGGCAGCGGCGCGUUGCGUAACGGCGCCCCGCGGCACUCACCGCCUCCGAGUCUUCAAAUCCAUGCAGAAAACGAGUUUUCUCCUGAUGUUCUACGAUGGAGCUGCAAACAAACAAACAGAACGAACCCCAAGUGCCAAGAACUGAAAAACCACAAGUUUUGGCCUUAUUUAAAACCAACUUGGGAAAACCAAUCCAACCAGAGCUCUACCCUGGACCUUUCUAGUUCUGCCUCUCCUGUCCAAGAGCUGCCUGUGUCUGUGGGUAUCAGCUGCACACACCAUCCCUCAGCGUGUCAGCGAGGUUUCACUUUCACUGUGGGCUGUGCUGCUAAGGCAGCGUGCCUGGCGCUGCAGGAUGUGCCCUCACCCUGCUGCAGAGCUGAGGAUGGACAAGAAGAUUCAUCCCAGUGCAACAAACCCAAACGUUGCCUCCAUGAGGAUGGACUGAAGCUCUCUAAAGGCUCUUCUACUCCAACAGUAAGGUUGCAAUGCUGGCCUCGUAGCUUUACUUUGGACUAAUGAGAUACUAAGUGCAGAGAAUGAACCUGCUCCUUCUAGCAUCUUUCAGCACACAAAACCUCCAGUAUUUAUCAGUAUAUUUCAUCCAAAGCAUUGGGUUUGACCUUUCAGUGCCUGAAUUUUGGGUCCUGAUGAAAAAAAUUCCUCUCCCCAUAUGUUGUUCUUGCUGAAAUCAGCAGAACAGCCCAAGUAUAUAUUUCAUUAAUAUAAGGGAAGAGGACCGUCAGCAUUCUCCAGCAAUCCACCUAAGGCAGGACUUGCUUCCAUCGCUUGGAAGGAGGCCAGCUCCUCACUCUUCUGUGCUACUUAGCAUAGCCCAAUUCCUCAUCCUUCUCCCUCUACAGCAAUCUAUUUUUUUCCUCUCUCCUUUUCUGUUUUAUAAUACAGAUUAGAUAAGCACAUGGUUGUAGCAACAACAGCUUCUGCCUUGGGGUGGAAGUAUGAACAAGACAACCUCUUGAGAUCCCACUAACCUCCUUUUCUCACAUCUCAUGAGCAGUGAGAACUGGAUGACAUCUGUGAUGUUUCACAGUUCUGGAGAUACCAGGUAAAUAAGUAUGUCUUUAUGCUCCAAAAGAAAGAAGCACCGUGGUGUUUGGGGAAUGUCUUGGUGCAUUUAAAGGUUUAAUUCAAAGGGAGACCUGGAUGGUAUGCUUUAAUUCCUUGAAUUUCAAGCAAAUAAAUUAGCCUGGUAGGGUCUAAUUUGACAGUUCUUCUGGAGGAAGUGAGGUGCCACCUAGACUGAAACACAUUUAUCUGACACUGUUACAUAAAGGCUGCUAUAAUUAAAGAGAGUGUGAAGACUUCAUUGUCACUUUCUCUCAGUUUAAAGCACCUGCAAUGAGAGAGGUAACCUGACAACAUUUGUAGGUAUCCUCUAUAUUUAACCAGUUGUGAGGUUUCUCUUUGCUGCAGGCUCUGCAAAGAGCUGAGCUGUGGGAAAUUCCAAGCCACAGCUGCGGCCUUCCAGAGCGUGUCUGAUAAAGAAGAGUGGAUUAUCUCCACCUCCUGAGGCAGGUAGGGAUGUCCUCUCAGGUUUUCAUAGCACAAGACAGCCCUACUCUACUUAUGGCUUCCAAUGGUGUGCAGAAAUGAGCGUGGCAAAUCUGAAAUGACCUGCAAAAUAUUGCAAGACGCAGCCGAUGGCAUCACGCUGCAUUAACGUGGGUCACCCCCUCAAGAACUGAGGAUUGCACUGAAGAACUUGUGGAUCUGUGGGCUCUGAGCAGGCACAGCAAUCUCCCUCCAGCAACACCCAUCUAUCAGCAGCAAGCAGCAUCCACCGGGUCGAAAAACCUUCACAGCUCCAACCCGAAAUGCCAGUGCCUUAUGGCUGGGGUUGUGCUGUGGUUCUUUGCUGGAAGGAAGACACAGGGAUUGUUUUCAGAGGAGAUGCACAUUUAUAUCUUCCAUGCCAAAAAGCAUCCUGGCCAGAGGAUUAAGCAUUUGUUUUGUUUCUUAUUUUAAGCUCCUCUUCUCUUCUUAUGAAUGUUAAUCAAUCUCCUUAACUGCUGCAAGUGCUGAUGCUGAGUAUUGCUGAAUACCACUUUAGCUUGCAACUGAUGAAAUUAUGGGAAACUAUCAAUAAAAGCCAAUUAGUAACCUUAUGGGAAGCUGGUGCUACUUUAUCCAAGUAGCUGAAGUUACCCCUGCAUUCUGGAAACCCUCAUCAGCUCUGAAACACAGCCAAAAGAGCAGCAGUUCCCACCUGGGCUGGAGAAGGAAUGCCCCACUGCUAUGGGAGGCUGCAGGACAACGUGGUGUUCACGUCCUCCAACAGAUGUGCAGCCCAGAAAGCUCCCAGACACUGCAGAUUUCCCAGGGGCAUUCAAAUAUUUGCAGUUCUCUCAGUAAACGUUCACACAGAUGUGACUGAAAUGUAUUUCUCAUAAAUGACAAACAUGCUGUAAUAACUCUUUAGAGAAAACAAGGCCCAGGCUGAGCAGUUGGAGAUGGACAAACACGGCCUUGCCAGCUAAAAACAAACCACAAAAAAAACAUCACUUCACUGGAGAAUUUCCCAUUUAGAGAAAUUAGUAAACCUACAGUUCCCAUUUUGCAUUUAGGGUGGCUCAGACUAGAACAAAGGGUGCACAAAGAGGAGUCAGCCAAAGAGCUUUUAGUCCUAGAGCUAAGGAGCACUUCUGUUGUUCAUGCUGGGGGUUAAAGGGGUAAAUAAGUAAAUAAAGCCAGGCAAACUGACAGAACCUUAUCUGUACUUUGCUGCUUCUCCUUGGGAUUUGACAAGGAUGGCUCGAUUAGCCUGUUGAUUUUACUGCAUCUCCUUAUGCUUUAUAAUCCCAUUACCAUACUGCAAGACAGCAAUUUGAAUUUCAUGGCAAGGGACUGUGGGAAGCUUCAGUUCAUUUCAGCAGAUUUCCAUGACACCCAUCCAAACGGAGAAGCUGAUGCAGAAACAACAGAUCAAUGAACGGGCAGCCACUUAUCCAACCCCGUGUCUUUAAAUAUUUAGUCAGGACCACUGAGAACCAAUGGAGAAAAGCAAAGAUUCAAGGAUUUUACUGCCUAUUUAAGUAAGAGGAGCUCUUGCCUCUACAGUGUCUGAGAGACCUUUGCUCAUCUGCCCGAUGAAAUGAUCAAUUUGGGAUGCUCUUGCCAUCCUAAAGCAGAACAUAAAGUCUGUAAGUCACAGAAUCACAG